UCAAAAAUUAACAUAAUUUUAAUGUGUCUCACUUACGUUGAGAGGAUAAUUUAUAUUAAAUUAUUUUUGAU
rnacentral:tRNA from 1 species